GCCAGGUGUGGUGCGGUCGGGGCGAUCUGCAGAAGCUCUGAAGGGAUUUUCUUGGGAGCAUCGGUGCUUGUCUUCAAGUAUAUUACAAAUCCAGAGACUCUCGAAGCAGUUGCAAUCAGAGAGGCUUUGGCACUAUCAGAUGAUCUUUACCAGCGGAGAAUUCAUGUGGCCUCUGAUUGCAAAGUGGUGGUGGAAGACUUGAAGAAGGAAAAGCCAUCUGCUUAUGGAGCUAUCAUACACGAAAUAAUACGCCACUCGUUGGAUAUUGAUUUAUGUAACUUUAGCCAUGAAUUUAGGAGCUCAAAUUUUGAAGCUCACAACUUAGCGAAGCAUGCUUUAUCUCUCGGGGGUGGCCCCCAUGUGUGGUUGGGACACCCUGGAGACCUUCCGUCUGUCCCCGUAAACAUUGUGACGAAUUAA
rnacentral:rRNA from 1 species